AACGAACGCUGGCGGCAUGCCUAACACAUGCAAGUCGAACGAGACCUUCGGGUCUAGUGGCGCACGGGUGCGUAACGCGUGGGAACCUGCCCUUAGGUUCGGAAUAACUCCCCGAAAGGGGUGCUAAUACCGGUUAAUGUCUUCGGACCAAAGAUUUAUCGCCUUUGGAUGGGCCCGCGUUGGAUUAGCUAGUUGGUAGGGUAAAAGCCUACCAAGGCGACGAUCCAUAGCUGGUGUGAGAGGAUGAUCAGCCACACUGGGACUGAGACACGGCCCAGACUCCUACGGGAGGCAGCAGUGGGGAAUAUUGGACAAUGGGCGAAAGCCUGAUCCAGCAAUGCCGCGUGAGUGAUGAAGGCCUUAGGGUUGUAAAGCUCUUUUACCCGGGAUGAUAAUGACAGUACCGGGAGAAUAAGCUCCGGCUAACUCCGUG
rnacentral:rRNA from 1 species